UUCAAGUAAGUCCUGCAAACAGCCAUUUCUCACCUCCUCUCCGGCAACCGCGCUGACUGAAGCUGACAUCUUCUUUCCGGAAGCCGUGGCAAUGGCCUGCUCCACAGUUCUCUGCAUUCAUUCUUACCAUUUCCAGUGAACUUUGGGAACAACCAAAAUAAGAAGAACCAAUCUGGAGAGAGGACUGGUACUCGUAGAGCUAGCGGCUUUGGAGGCUGGAACCCUGGGGUCUGAAGCCUGCCCUGGUCAGUUAGUUACUGACUUACGUACCAGCCAAGGUAGCAGAGCUGCUUUCACACCACGGCUGCCUGGAGACCCCAUGAAGGACCCCACAGAGGACCACCAGCUUGCAGUGGCCCAUCGCUGCCCUGAGACGGGAGCCCCCGUGGCUGUCUUCUGCCUUAUGAGAGCCAAUUUUUGGAUGCACCAGUGGUCCAAUGAGAUUUCUUCUGACGUAUAUCCACAAAGGUAAAGAAAUUGAGACACGAUGUUUCAUAUCCGGUCCAAUGUCUUGAAGCUAAUUGGAAGGAGAACUGAGUGCCAGAAUGUUCUUAAUUACUACUUCAAAUAUAUCACACGAGGACCCAGACUCACAGAUGAUACUCAAUCAGCAGAUGCAUAAACCAAUUCAUCUCUGAUAAGAGAGGUUAGGAAUUGGGCUGUCCACUUCAUUUCUCAGAAGCGUCUGUCAACCUCGUGGGAUUUUUAUGGAGUUUUUUUCUGUUCGUCUGACAUUCCAAACUGAAACAGAUGAUGCCAGCCCAGUUCCUAAGAGAAGCAAACACUUAAACUGAGAAGACAGUGAUAAAAACAGGAAAUAACUUCACCCUGGGAAUAUUCCAGAAACCAAGUUUGAAUAAUUCCUUCAUGUUCAGUUGAAUACAGGUUGACUCCCAGGUUGACUCACUCAUGUAAAUACUCCUGACUAUGUUAUGACUGUUAAACACACACACACACACACACACACACACACACACACACACCCUUAUCUUUCCAAAAUGCUAACUAUGCAGCAUGAAUCAGUCACUCUGGACGUUAGAGCACUGGGUUCUUCAUCAUCAACCUUGACUCCUCUCUUGUCAUCCUCACAUCCAGUCCAGCAGCAAACCCUACCCCUGCCACCCACCUUCUAAAUUUGAGACCUACUCUAGAGGCCAGCCCAUGUCCACUUGGGUAAAUGUUCCAUGUACACUUGAAAAAGAAUACAUAUUCUGUAGUCAUCAGUUGCUUUGUUCUGUAAGUGUCAGUUAAGUGUGUUAAAUAGUAUUGGUCAAAAUCUUUCUAUUCCUACUGAUUUAUUGUUGUUGGCUUGUCCGUUAGUUACUGAUAGAAGAAUGUCAAAGCCCACCACUAUGAUUGUGAAUUUCUCUAUUUCUCCUUUUAGAUCUGGUGGUUUCUGCCUUAUACACAUCGAAGCUGUAUUAGCAAGUGUUUCUAGACUUAGAAUUGUUCUAUCUUUCAGUGGGACUGACCCUUUUCAGUAUAAAAUUCAUUUUCUUUAUUGUGCUGCUCUCAUCUUAAAAUCAACUUCAUCUGAUAGUAGAGUAACUAGUCAACUCUCUUUUGAUUACUGUAUGCAUACAGUAUCUUUUCCCAUCUUUUAUUUUCAUCCUGUCUGUAUGCUCAUAUUUAAAGAUUAUCUCUUGGAAGCAGAAAAUAUGUGGGUUUUGUUUUGUUUUGUUUGUUCAUUUAGUAUGACAAUCUCUUUUCAUGUGAACAUUUAGCUCAUUUACAUUUAAUGUAAUUAUUAACACAUUGCUAACACAAUACUAAUGCAUUACUAGCUGUUUCUUUCAGUUCCAUCUGUUGUGAGUUCCAUUUUCUUUAUUAUGAACUUUUACAUUAAUGACAUCUUUUUAAGGUCAUUCUCCUCUCUAUUAGCUUGUUACUUGUAUAUUUUCUUUUGUUGUUAUCUUGCAGAUUCCAGGGAUGAUCUUUGUCUUAUUGUAGUUUAAUAAAAUUCCUGCUUUUAACACUUCUCUGGCAAUGCAAGAAAAUUAGGACCUGUUUAAUUCCCUUUUCCUACUGCAAAUAUCAAUUCUAGUUAUAUUUUAAACCUGGCAAGACAUGAUUAUUAUCUUUUAAUGUAGUCAGUAUUCAUUUAGAUUUGUCAACAAUUUCUUCUGUUGCUGCUCUUCAUCCUUUCUUAAAAUUUUAGUUUUCUUCUGAGAUUAUCUUCUUUUUUUCCUAAAGGACUUUCCUUUGUCUUUCUUUUAGGUAAAGUCUGCUGGUAAUGUAUUCACUCAGUUUUUGUCUGAAAAUAUGUUUAUUUCAUCUUAAAUUUUGAUGGAUAUUUUUACUAGGUGUAGGAUUAUAGGUUGGUAGUUAUUUUCUUUCAGCUCUUAAUUUUUUUUAGAGGGUUUUAUCUUUUGCCUUCCAUCAGUUCUGCUGAAAAGUCAACUGCCAGUCUCCUUGUUGUUUUCCGUUGAAGCGGAGCAUGUGUCUCCGUUUUUGGAUGCCUUCGUACCAUUUCUUUCUUUUUUUUUUUUUUUUGGUCUAGCUUUUGUAGUUGUUCUAAUAGGUGAAAUGGUCUGCGACUAACUAUCUGGACAUUUUUCCAGAAAGAAAUUUUACAUACUAAAUGGCUAUGGCCUUCCCCAGAUAAUGCUAAAGAUAGCCGCUGGAGCUGGAGGGAAUGAGAGGUGAUCUAGGGAGAGAGAAGCUAAUAUAGAAGGAGUAAUUCUACUUAAGAGGAGUGGACCCCAGAAGAUUAGUAGGAGUCUGGGAGCAAAGGACAUUUAUAGGGGACAGAAUGGUACUUUCUGAGAAUAAAUGGCCCCAGAGCCUGAGAGAGUAUAAUAUCUAAUAUUACAUUUUAUAUUUUUCUUUAUUAUGUUGUACUUCCCUGAAGUAAUUGAGAUUUAGAGAGUUUAAUCAACAUGUCUAAUCGCAGGCAGCUAGGACACUACUGAGAUCUGAACCCAUGCCAGCAGACUCCAGAGCUCAUGGGCUUUUAACCACUCAACUACACUAAAGACCAGAGACUUCCAAACUCUUCUGACUAUAAACCAUAAUAAGAAACAUAUCAUGAGUCUAUAUGCACAUAUUCAUAAUAAAAACUAAGGUUUCACUAAUUCAUAUGAUGCAUGUUACCUGUAACACAUCGUGAACUACCCUCUCCUCUCCUAUCUUACUCUUUCCCGUUCCGUCCUACUCUGCGCCAUUCCAUUUCAUCCUUUCCUGUUCUGUUUCCUGGAUUAAUGCUAAUGGGUUGGUCUUCCAUUCCGGAUAAAAAUCACUGCUGAAGACAAUGACUUUUACCUUAAGGAUUAAUAAAGCACACAGCUCUGAUUUGCUGGGGAAAGUUCCAAGAGAGAGAAAGAAGCACAAAGAAGCCACCUACAUUAUCGUUCCAGAGAUUUUAACAGUAGAACAACUUUGGGGGUCAUCCGUUUCAAAUUCUCUGGUAGGCAUCCUCCCAUAGGUUUGUUAACUUGCAGCUGGCAUUGAGCAAGCGGGAUGGUAUUUUGCCUGUUUGGGAACCCAUCUUAGUCCUUUCUACACAGCACAGGGCAGAACAGGCGCUCAGCAAAUGUUUGUUGCCGCAGUCAAAUAAAGGGUCAUGGGGGAUGCAUCUCAGAGUUUUCUCUGCUCUCAUGUUCCCUAUUCAUCCCUGAAUGAAGAGGCCUAUGACAUCUCACGCUGGGUCAGAGUCAACAGUAAAAGAAUCUCCUAGAAAGAUCACUUCCCCCAACUUGCUGUCUUAGUCUGCUGUGGCACCAAGAGAUUAAAGAAACAUUCCCACCCCCCUACCCCCUCCAGAAUUUCCUGUCCUGUCUUGUGGUUGAUUUAAAAUAUUUCAACUCCCACCUCCCCCUUUCUCACCAUUUCUUCUUCAUGGCUAAAGAGGUUAUACAUUGGCAAAGGAAAUGAUUAAGCAAAUCCAAAGACCUUGGCCAGGGACUUGAUUUUUCAAGGGCCUCGUUUUGGAGAGCUGAAGAAAUCUGUGUGAGGAAGGGUUUGCACAUACGUUUUUAGCCUUAGUCAGGACUGGUGCAUAAUUUCCUGUUUUUAUAUCCUCAAAACUGCUAAGCUCCUUGUGAACAACUGGCCAGCACAGAUAGGGAGGGGGGUGUGGGGGUUGCGGGGAGAGGGCUGGGGAGGGGAGGACAGAGCUAUUCCUCCUUCAGUUCUGGCACAACUUCAGUGAAAGUGGAAAGUUUUGGGGUUUUUUUUUGUUUUGUUUUGUUUUUUUAAGGCAAUGAAAUAGAGACUAGAGGCAGAUUCUAGGCAUUGAAGUCAAGCCUUUGAGUGGUAAAGAGGGGAAGAAACAAGUUUGAGCAGGAAUUUUAAUGGGCUGCCAGGUACUCAAAGGAGCCGUUGAAUCUCAAGAUGUCCCGUUGAGCACGAGCAUGUUGUAGGCACUCAUGCACCAGGCACAGUGCUAACUGCUUUGCGUGGAAUAUAUCGUUAGACCCGCCUUGCAACGCCGCGUGGAAGAUUCCCUUGUCAUCCUCCAUUGUAUGGACACCACAGUGACGUUGAAGAAGUUAGGUGACUUCAUGUGGCUGGGACCAUCACAUACAUGUUCAUUUGUCUAAUUCCAGGAUUGGCUUGGGGCCCUGACAACGUUGCUUUCUGAUGUUAGUUUUCUCUCUAAGCCAGGCUUUAGGUUGUGCUGGGGCAUUUAUUUGCCCAUUGGUUUUUAGUGUUCCCCUUCAAAUUUCAUUUCCCAGGUUCCAUUGCCAACUGGCUUUGGGUUAGGUUCAGACAGCAGGGGGCGCUGCCACCAAGCUGUUUUUCCUAUACUCGCCCAUCAGCAGAGAGGUAGUGCUUCCCCACUCUGGACCCCAGGCCCCCUCUGGACCCCAGCUACCCUCCGGCAGCCUCGCCCAGCCCCAUGUGGUGCUCCACUUUCCACACGGUGUCCAGCUCCCCUGGCACUGGGAACAGGACCUCUUUUUGUCUGUCUGGCCCCGUUGGUAUUACAGUUUCCUUCCGUGUCCGGUCUCUUGGGUGGUCUCCUCGUCAGGUGCCUGCUUUUUUACCUCACCCAGCACCUAUGAAUUCCCCUCUAUUAAACUAGUUGGCACAAGGACCCUAAGUGAGAUACAGAUGUUUGUGCCGUAGACACAGACCCUGAGGCGAGACCUUGGUUGCAGGUAGUUUGUUUGGGACGUGAUCCCAGGAAGCACAAAGGAGGGAGACUGUGUUCAUGAGAAAGUCACUACUGCGGGCAGCUAGGAUUCAGUCGCGCCGGGGACCGUGUGGGAGCAUUUAGAAGACACCUCAAAGUCGUCCCUCUGAGGGGUGGGGGAGCUGAGAUACUUAUCUACCAUCUCCUCGUUGGUUGAAGGUUGUCCCUAGGGGCGUCAAAUUUUAGGCAUUUCCAGAACACCCUACACGUGGGCUGAAUGAGUUCUCACAGCCCCUGGAGAAAGCCACUGAGAAGAAAAGCCAAUAGUGGAGGGAUCUUUGAGGUGGGAGCUCUCAGUGCUGUAUGUGACCUCUGGAGUGAGCUGAAGAGAAAUGACAUGGGGCAUCCACAGCA